CCUAAACACAUACAGCCACGCCCCUAAACACAUACAGCCAAUCACUAGCACCAUCCCCACACUCAUACAUGUGCCCUUGUACGUUUAGCUGCGGUGACUCUCCAGGGCCUAAAGAUGCACAUUUAAUAAUAAAAGGUGUGCAGUGAUAUAAUACAACUAUCUACCUCUAUGUCUGUCUGUCUUUCUAUCUACCUCUCUAUCUAUCUGUCUGUCUAUAUACCUCUCUGUCUGUCUAUCUGCUCAGUGGAUAUCAUACUAUAUGUUGAUUAGCUUAUAUCAAUUCAUCCCUGUGCUCUAAGCUUAUAUUAAUAUAAUAUAUUAUAUAGGAG